rnacentral:rRNA from 1 species
UACGGGGGGGGGCAAGCGUUGUUCGGAAUUACUGGGCGUAAAGGGUUCGUAGGUGGCCGGCUAAGUCAGACGUGAAAUCCCUCAGCUCAACUGGGGAACUGCGUCUGAGACUGGUCGGCUUGAGUGCAGGAGAGGAACGCGGAAUUCCAGGUGUAGCGGUGAAAUGCGUAGAUAUCUGGAGGAACACCGGUGGCGAAGGCGGCAUCCUGGACCAACACUGACGCUGAGUGAGCGAAAGCCAGGGGAGCAAACGGG